CCACCCUUUAAUGUUUGAUGUUCUAACGUGGACCCGUUACCCGGGUUGCGGACAGUGUCUGGUGGGUAGUUUGACUGGGGCGGUCUCCUCCUAAAGAGUAACGGAGGAGCACGAAGGUUGGCUAAUCCUGGUCGGACAUCAGGAGGUUAGUGCAAUGGCAUAAGCCAGCUUGACUGCGAGCGUGACGGCGCGAGCAGGUGCGAAAGCAGGUCAUAGUGAUCCGGUGGUUCUGAAUGGAAGGGCCAUCGCUCAACGGAUAAAAGGUACUCCGGGGAUAACAGGCUGAUACCGCCCAAGAGUUCAUAUCGACGGCGGUGUUUGGCACCUCGAUGUCGGCUCAUCACAUCCUGGGGCUGAAGUAGGUCCCAAGGGUAUGGCUGUUCGCCAUUUAAAGUGGUACGCGAGCUGGGUUUAGAACGUCGUGAGACAGUUCGGUCCCUAUCUGCCGUGGGCGCUGGAGAACUGAGGGGGGCUGCUCCUAGUACGAGAGGACCGGAGUGGACGCAUCACUGGUGUUCGGGUUGUCAUGCCAAUGGCACUGCCCGGUAGCUAAAUGCGGAAGAGAUAAGUGCUGAAAGCAUCUAAGCACGAAACUUGCCCCGAGAUGAGUUCUCCCUGAGACUUAGAGUCUCCUGAAGGAACGUUGAAGACGACGACGUUGAUAGGCCGGGUGUGUAAGCGCAGCGAUGCGUUGAGCUAACCGGUACUAAUGAACCGUGAGGCUUAACCUUACAACGCCGAAG
rnacentral:rRNA from 1 species